rfam:Schistosoma mattheei strain Denwood, Zambia genome assembly, scaffold: SMTD_scaffold0014701
AUCCAGGUGAUGAGUCCCAAAUAGGACGAAACGCGUGUACUGGAU